CUUGACAGUGUGAUAAUAUCUCCGAUGAACUCCAACCCGAGCUAACCUGGCAACCCUAGGAAACAUGGGAAAGAAGGGGGGUAAGCUUUCUCUUAGUAAGUUCAUAUGAAAACAAUAAGCAACUCAUUAACUUGUUUUUAUCAAUGUUUACAACAUAUUCUCAAGUUCACUACAAGCUAUCUUUCUGAGCAAUAGUCACUAAAUUAUUUAUAUUUGGAGCUACAAAACUUCGAAUUAUGUUCCGUUAAUUUUCCAUGAAACUAGACUAAUUUUUCUUUCUUCCAUAAAAUUUCCAUAAUUUUUGGUUCAGCCAAAUAGUACAUUUUAUUCCUCAAAGUUACCCCUGAUUCACUGUCAGAUAGUUCCGACCCUUUGGUACUAAAGUUCAAUUAUCUCAUAGUACAAGAUUCGAAUAAUGUUCUCGUCUAUUUCCCUUGAAACUAGACUCAUAUUUCUACUUACUAAUUUUUUUCUAGAAUUUUUGGUUGGGCCAAUUAGUACAGUUUAUUAGUUAAAGUCUCCCCUGUUUCAGGGUAUGACCACUCUGACCCCUGUGCACUACGAACCAAAUUUCUCCCUGUACAGAAUUCCAACGACCAUGCCGUUUAUUUCCCCUAAAAAUAGACUCAAUAAGGAAUCCAUGCAUGUAAGGUAUGACUCUUAAUAAUUGUUUUACAAUUUUUGGUGAAUUUAUAAAGUCAAAUUGCUUAUCUAUAAAAGUCUAACCUCCUUUCCCUCAUUGCCGCAGCACCUGUGAAAGUGGCAGCAAGAACCAAAGCACCUACAAGAACAGCCAAAGCAACCAACGACUUCUCCUCCGAAAGACCAUACAUAAGUGAUAUUUCCUUCGUCCUUACCCACAGUUGUGGGUAUAUAUGUCGUGCCCUGCAACCCGAUUUCUAACUCGAUAGUUACAGAGUGAUCUUGAAUUUAUUCAGACCCUGUUUCACAAGAAUUCAAAUAUCACACAAUAUGGAAUUCUUUUUCUUCCCCUGUUUCUUUCAUGUGAAAAUAGACUCAUUAAGCUUUAAUCCCAUAUUUUAUUCUGCCUCCAACUCAUUUUCCACUAUUUUUAGUGUAUUUUCAAAGUUACACUACUGCAGUAACUCAAAUCUGUCAAGGCUAAAUUACUCAUUCAUGAUCAUUGUUCACAAAAUUAAUACAACAUCAUUUGUAUAAUCAUCACCGAGACAUUCAUAUCACAUUUUCAUUUACCAUCUUACCAUUUUGUUGUUAUGUCGAGUUUUCAACCCGAGGGUUAAGUACAUACCUGUUCAAAGUAUCCAUUUCACAACAUUUAUCAAUACGUCCCUUUCAUCUCGAGUAUUCCUUCAUUUGAGUAGAAUUUUACCCAUUGAACACAUCGGACUAUAAUUCGGAUACAUGGAAAGUUUGCACAUAAGUGCCACAUAUAUAGCCAAGCUACCAUGUAACCCGCCUAUAAGUGAACUCGGACUCAACUCAACAAGCUCGGGCGUUCGCAUCCAUAAGUGAACUCGGACUCAAGUCAACGAGCUCGGAUGCCUAGUUACAUCUCACGAACUCGGACUCAACUCAACGAGUUCGAACAUUCGCAUCCAUAAGUGAACUCGGACUCAACUCAACGAGCUCAGAUGCCCAAAUAUUCCCGUGACAUGUCACUUGUAUCCUAAUCUAUUCCUAAGGUUCAACGGGACCUUUUUCCCAAUCAUGUGUCUCAACCAUCUUCUACGGAAUGCCGAUACCAAUACUCGGUAGUAUUUCACAUUUUCCAAGUAUAUCAUAUAAUUUGACAUAUUAUCAAACAAUUAUUACAAGUAUAAUAUCUCAUAAUAAUUAUCAUAUCAUUUAAAUAACAUCAAAACAUUUAAAAUAAUAACUAUGUUAUAAAUAACAUCAAAACAUUUAAAAUAAUAACUAUGUUACCAACAUUUACAUAUGAACUUACUUCGAUACCACAAAGGUAAAAAAAGACGUAAUUAUCCCUUAAUCGAUUUCUUUCCGUUCUAGGUCCAAAUCUCGAUUUUCAUCAUCUAAAAUAUCACAUUCAACUUAUUAAAACAAUGUACUGAUCAAAUUAGUCCAUUGACAACUUGAGCAAUUUUUACAAUUUUGCCAAAAUUACCAAAUUACCCCUAGGCUCGUAAAAUAAUUUUUAUCACAUUUCUUUACUCCUUGAGUCUAGAUGAACCAUUUUCAUAACUAUAGCAACUCAUAAUUUCAAAUAUUUCACACAUUUACAACUCAUUUUACAACUUAGCAAUCUAGCCCUUUUAAAGGUGUUUUCAUGCAAUUUCUUUCACAAAAGUUGUUUAUUAGACAACUAGGACUCAUAAUCUUCCAUAAAAACAUAGCAAACAACACAUUUACUCUCAUGGAAAAACCCUAGACUCUUCAUCAUUUUGCAAAAUAGACCCCUCAUAUGAAAGCUCAUGCUUUAGGGGUUCUAAAAAUGUAAAAAUCAUCAAGAAAGACAUUAAAAAUCACUUACUAGCAAGGGAUGUAAGUGGUUGAUAUUUCAGAGCUUUUCUG
rnacentral:lncRNA from 1 species